rnacentral:lncRNA from 1 species
AAAGAAACCGUCUCUGACCACCCCACUCCUCCCUGUCCCACCCCUUGGAAGUUCCCCAUUGUCACUGAGAACCACCAAAUCUGACUUUUAUAUUUGGUCUCAGAAUUUAGGUUUCUGCCCUGGUCCCUUCCCACCCCCUCAUUGUUUGUUGUUGUUGUUUGUUUGUUUUUUGGGUUUUUUUUUUAACCAUUUCCAAAAGUUCUUAAAGGCAAGAGUGAAUUUCUGUGGAUUUACUGGUCCCAGCUUUUAGGUUCUUUAAGUCACUAACAGGACUGCAUAGAGGCUUUUUCAGCAUUACUGUAUGGUCUUCAUGCCAGAAUAUCACCAUUAGAAAUGGAAAUUAUAUUUGAAAGCCAUUAGACUUCUAGGUGAUGCACCUGAGAGAUUGAUCACACUUUAGAGGAAUAUAUGGUAUCAUUUUUUUCCUUUUUCUAAUCGUUUGAAUUUUAUACCAAUGUUUAAACUUAAUUGGAUGUUAGCUUGAGGUGGUUAAAGGUCCUUUGUGGGGAGGAUUUUUGCUAUGGUUUUGCUGUAAAAAGUGUUUCUAAUUGUGCUGAAAUGUUGCUGAAAAGCGUGGUGCUGGUAACAGUUCAACAAUCCGGGGCCACUCAUUCUUGCCUACUUUUACCCUCCCUCUGAAGCAUUGAAGGUGGUAUGAGAAGCCUGCAUGCGUGUUCAAUUCUUCUCCUUCUCUUUUCCCCUGCCUCCCCUACUCUCCUUUGCUUGCUCAACCUCUUUUGUUCAGUAUGUGUAACUUGAAGCUAUUUUGUACUACUGGAUAUCUGACUGGAGCCACAGACACAGAAUCUGUAUUGUUCUUACUGAAACACAGCAUGUAAUCAACAUUAAACUUAUAUAAAACAAACCCAAAUUUAAAAAG